rnacentral:rRNA from 1 species
GACGAACGCUGGCGGCGCGCUUAACACAUGCAAGUCGAACGGAAAGGCCUGCUUUCCCUUGUGGAUUGCGGGUACUCGAGUGGCGAACGGGUGAGUAACACGUGAGUGAUCUGCCCCCAACUUGGGUAUAAGCCUGGGAAACUGGGUCUAAUCCCCGAUAGGACUGCAGGGUGGUGCCUGUGGUGGAAAACGAUUUUCUAGUGGUUGGGGAUGAGCUCGCGGCCUAUCAGCUUGUUGGUGGGGUAAUGGCCUACCAAGGCGGCGACGGGUAGCCGGCCUGGGAGGGUGGACGGCCACAUUGGGGCUGAGAUACGGCCCAGACUCCUACGGGAGGCAGCAGUGGGGAAUAUUGCACAAUGGGCGGAAGCCUGGUGCAGCGACGCCGCGUGGGGGAUGACGGCCUUCGGGUUGUAAACUCCUUUCGACCGCGAGGAAGCCACCUGGUUGGAAGGGUGGUGACGGUAGUGGUAGAAGAAGCACCGGCUAACUACGUG